CUAGAGGGGAGAAGGCUUCUCUGCCUCCUGCCUAGUAACACAGCUUCUUUCCUCAACCCUAUACCUGUCUCUUGUAUGGUCACAACAGACCUGGAGACCUUUAAAACCCCAAAUCUAAUUUUAACAGCUGAAAAAAAAUCUUGUUUCCCUUUCUCCUAAUCACUAAACCUGCCAGAAAUUGAUGGGAAAUGUUUGCAUUUCUAUCAUUUUGGGACAUCAGAGAAGUGUAUUAAAAAUAAAACAAUUGGGAUCCCUGGGUGGUGCAGUGGUUUAGCGCCUGCCUUUGGCCCAGGGCGUGAUCCUGGAGACCCGGGAUCGAAUCCCACGUCGGGCUCCCGGUGCAUGGAGCCUGCUUCUCCCUCUGCCUUUGUCUCUGCCUCUCUCUCUCUCUCUCACUGUGUGCCUAUCAUAAAUAAAAAAUAAAAAAAAUUAAAAAAAUAAAAUAAAAUAAAACAAUUGUGCUUUUAAAAUAUGCAAACAGCCAGAACAUUCUAUCUUGCUAAUGUCUUUGCCUGCAAUCUCCUUUCCCAUUUUUCACCAGGCCAACUCCCACUUAUCCUUGAGGACUCAGCUCAGACAUCACCUCGGAUAGGAAUUAUCCACAUCCAUGAAACACCACCUCUGCAAGAGGCCCUGCAUCAUUUUCUUCCAUGUGGCCAACCCACCACACCUGGCUCGUAUCAAGUGUGUGCUAAACUGAAUGGAAUUCAGGGCAAGCCUCUCUGAGUCACUGCACGCUGAUGGCCCCGGGCAGAAAGCUGCCAAAGUGGGUAAAUCCUGGAAGAGUGAGGCCCAGGUGCUGACUGGGCCAAUUUAAAGGAGCUAGCCUGGUUGGGACCCAUCCCGGUGGUUCCCCAGCCAUCAUUUUUUGUCUUCAUGCUUUUGUCCAUUCUGGUCUUUUACCACGAAGUCUUCUCCUAGACUGACCCCUGCCAUCCAAAUCCUAUAUGUUUCAAAAAGUCACUUUUCAGAGGCCACCUGUGAGGUCUGUAACAUUUGCUCUGAAUCUCUGUCAUGGAACCAUGUGAGAUGGUAGUUGAGAUGUAUAUAUAUAAUCUUCUUGACUGCGUUGGAAGCACUGGAAGCAACCUGAAGGAUGGGAGGGGGCACCAUGUUAUACCUGCCCCUUGGCCCCUAGUACAAAGUUUUAUGUGGACAUGACAAGAGGAGGCCCACAGGAAGUGAUGAAAGAAGACAAAAGAGAGUUGUGACCGUUAAAUAGUGUGAAUCCAGAAGGUGAAGGGAGAAGAUGGCGGCAAGGUGCGGUGGAAGGGAGGGUUUUGUCAUGGAGUAGAAAUUGAUCUAGGCCCUGAAGGAUGGUUCAGAAGAUCAGAUGAAAGGUCACCAGCAUGUUCUCAGAGCUUUCUUAAUUAAAGUCAGUGCUGACAUUUCCUGGAUAGGAUAAAAGUGACUCAUGGGUGGAGCAGGCCAAUCAUGAUCAACUGUCAAUCUUGCUGGUACUUUCAGUUUAUCCCCAACAGAACUUUCUGGAGUGUGUGCACCAACCAGGGAGUGAGGAGUACAUAGUCAGCAAGGCCUUGGCUUCUCUCCUAGACCCAGUUCACACCAAGAAAGGAACAUCAAGCACAAAGCCAGGGAGGGAGUGAAAGGCAGAAAUGCUGUCAGAGUGGGCCCAGCAUCUCCUAACCCAGUUUUUCUGCUGGCUUGAAGCAGAGUUGUGAUGAGGCCAAUGCCUGACCAGUCUGGCAGUCACAUCCUAAAAUCA
rnacentral:lncRNA from 12 species